rnacentral:rRNA from 2 species
UUACACAUGCAAGUCGAGCGGUAAGGCCCUUCGGGGUACACGAGCGGCGAACGGGUGAGUAACACGUGAGCAACCUGCCCCCGACUCCGGGAUAAGCGGUGGAAACGCCGUCUAAUACCGGAUACGACACACCGCCUCAUGGCGGUGUGUGGAAAGUUUUUCGGUCGGGGAUGGGCUCGCGGCCUAUCAGCUUGUUGGUGGGGUAACGGCCUACCAAGGCGAUUACGGGUAGCCGGCCUGAGAGGGCGACCGGCCACACUGGGACUGAGACACGGCCCAGACUCCUGCGGGAGGCAGCAGUGGGGAAUAUUGCGCAAUGGGCGAAAGCCUGACGCAGCGACGCCGCGUGGGGGAUGACGGCCUUCGGGUUGUAAACCUCUUUUACCACCAACGCAGGCUCCCAGUUCUCUGGGGGUUGACGGUAGGUGGGGAAUAAGGACCGGCUAACUACGUGCCAGCAGCCGCGGUAAUACGUAGGGUCCGAGCGUUGUCCGGAAUUAUUGGGCGUAAAGAGCUCGUAGGCGGCGUGUCGCGUCUGCUGUGAAAGACCGGGGCUUAACUCCGGUUCUGCAGUGGAUACGGGCAUGCUAGAGGUAGGUAGGGGAGACUGGAAUUCCUGGUGUAGCGGUGAAAUGCGCAGAUAUCAGGAGGAACACCGGUGGCGAAGGCGGGUCUCUGGGCCUUACCUGACGCUGAGGAGCGAAAGCAUGGGGAGCGAACAGGAUUAGAUACCCUGGUAGUCCAUGCCGUAAACGUUGGGCGCUAGGUGUGGGGACUUUCCACGGUUUCCGCGCCGUAGCUAACGCAUUAAGCGCCCCGCCUGGGGAGUACGGCCGCAAGGCUAAAACUCAAAGGAAUUGACGGGGGCCCGCACAAGCGGCGGAGCAUGUUGCUUAAUUCGACGCAACGCGAAGAACCUUACCAAGGUUUGACAUCGCCCGUGGACCUGUAGAGAUACAGGGUCAUUUAGUUGGUGGGUGACAGGUGGUGCAUGGCUGUCGUCAGCUCGUGUCGUGAGAUGUUG